AUGUUAGUAUUACUAGUGUACUAGUCGUACUCAGUUGUAGUUUGCCACACGUACUAAACGCGCGCGGUGUGAAAGGGGAGAGCCCGUACUACUUCCCCCCCCCCUCUCUUCCUCCAACAAUUUUUUUCUUUUACCUUUCAUUGACGAGGUGCUUUUUCUUUUUUUUUUUUUUUCAUUGCAAAUAUGACACAACAUCCACACAAAAAUAAAUAGAAUUAAACAUGGAACAAUCCAGAUGCUGCAAAGAUCAUUAUCGUUGUUCUAAGGAUCCGUACGUGCGUCUACAGGAGCUCCCCUAAUAAACAACAAGAGAAAGCUGGCCGUUUCAUUCCACAAUAAAUAUAUAUGGAGUACUACAAGAAUAAGAAUAAUAGACAUGGGCCCUCCAUGUUUAUUAGAUUAACGAAGAAUAAUUCGAAUAAGAAAAAUAAAAUAAUAUAGAUGGCGCUAUUUCAAAUUAAAUAAAUAUAAACAAAAUA
rnacentral:lncRNA from 1 species